rnacentral:rRNA from 1 species
UAGGGAAUCUUCCGCAAUGGGCGAAAGCCUGACGGAGCGACGCCGCGUGAGNGAAGAAGGCCUUCGGGUCGUAAAGCUCUGUUGUGAGGGACGAAGGAGCGCCGUUCGAAGAGGGCGGCGCGGUGACGGUACCUCANGAGNAAGCCCCGGCUAAUUACGUGCCAGCAGCCGCGGUAAUACGUANGGGGCGAGCGUUGUCCGGAAUUAUUGGGCGUAAAGCGCGCGCAGGCGGUUCCUUAAGUCUGAUGUGAAAGCCCACGGCUCAACCGUGGAGGGUCAUUGGCAACUGGGGGACUUGAGUGCAGGAGAGGAGAGCGGAAUUCCACGUGUAGCGGUGAAAUGCGUAGAGAUGUGGAGGAACACCAGUGGCGAAGGCGGCUCUCUGGCCUGCAACUGACGCUGAGGCGCGAAAGCGUGGGGAGCAAACAGUAUUAGAUACCCUGGUAGUCCACGCCGUAAACGAUGAGUGCUAAGCGUUAGAGGGGUCACACCCUUUAGUGCUGCANUAACGCGAUAAGCACUCCGCCUGGGGAGUACGG